rnacentral:lncRNA from 10 species
GGACUAUGUUUGAGGGGUGUUGUAUGACCCCGUUUUCCAUACCCAGCCAACUUGUCAUGUGACAAGUCCACAGAAAGAUGUUAUAUGACAGGAAUCUAUGAACUAGUCUUCCCUGAAAUGUACCUGACUACAGCUAACAUCAUAUCACAUGAUGAAAGACCGCGUUGUUUUCCCCUGAGGUUGGCAUGGGGACCUAUUGCUCACAGGAAGAAAAAAACAGCGUCCUUAUUUUGUGACUUCUGGCAACUGUCUUUUUCCGAGGAAGCCCCUUCCCUUCUGCCCUGCCUCUGAGUUCAAGCCGGGAUGCAGCUCCUAGUGUUUUCAAGCGUCUUACAGAUGGAGAUCAGCCCCGUCUUCCUCCAACGUCCCCACCCCGCAUCGGAGUCAGGACUCCACGGUGCUGUGGUCAGCACGGCUGCAUGGUCCUGCGACCCUGAGCCCCAGUGGGCUCUGACUGUGGUUACCAGCGCCUUAGGAGACAGAGUAACAGUCUGGAAGCAGAAACAGAGACUGUCCAUUUCAUAAACAGCCACAUCCGCAAGGUUUAUUCCUGGAUCACAAACCAACCCCACUGACCAAACUCCCAAGUCACUUUAUAUUAAACUUGUUAUCAAAUCACCCACAUAAAUAUAUAUAAUAAAUACAAAAA